AUUUUUCGAUUGCGAAAAUCGGUCCUCACAGCUGAAACAUUUUUUUGCCUUUUUUCAUAAACAAAAGAGUAUUUUUAAAAACUAACCACAUAACGUUUCUCACUUCACCAUAGUCAACUUAUAUUCAAAAGUAGAGCGAAUUUAAAAUUUUGAGCCUUGCCACAUAUUUCUCAUUUUGUUUGAUUUUUGUAGACAGUCGCUCUUAACAUGUUAUCAUGAACUAAAAUUUUGUUGCAGAUAUGCCAGUUUGUAUUUCGUUGCUGCAAUUGAAAAUAGUGACAAUGAAUUGAUAACUCUUGAGAUCAUUCACAGAUAUGUUGAACUAUUGGAUAAAUAUUUUGGAAGUGUAAGUAAUCAGUUUAAUACAGUAGAUUGUACAUACUAUAUCCACAGCAGAAAUGCUGUAUUAUAUAUAAUUAUUGUAUAAAGAUGUGAAUACAGAAGAAUGUCUUACACGCUACUUCAAAUGAACUGGAACACAUCAGUUUUUCCAAUGUAUGAAAGCCCUUUGUCAGGAAGCUAGUACAGGGUGCGGUAAUUCGCAUGUACUUAUGUACUGGAGGUGUGGUAUUAGCGAGGUUCAGAUUUGACCCCCACUAGACCACUACCGCUACCAUUAAUGGACUGGUUAAUCAGAUGCGUUUGAUAUAUCCAAUCAACCAAUCAGAUGCGUUUGAUAUAUCCAAUCAACCAAUCAGAUGCGUUUGAUAUAUCCAAUCAACCAAUCAGAUGCGUUUGAUAUAUCCAAUCAACCAAUCAGAUGCGUUUGAUAUAGCCAAUUAACCAAUCAGAUGUGUGCUAAGCCAAUGAGAGGUGGUGGUAGUGAAAGUUAAAUCUGAACCUGUCUAAUGUUACUGUCUGGUAGUUCUUUGUUUUGACGUAGGUAUGUGGUAUUCUAGCUAUCUGCGUACUUUUUCCUGGUAUCACAUGACCUUUCCAAGCCCAAAGUAUUCAAAGUCAUGUGUAAGUCUGACAUGUCUUGGCAUGAAACAUGAUUGGACUGACGAGACUAAGAAAUGUUGGAGUCAAUUGUAUGUAUUUGUAUGUGCAAUUUUGCUCCUUGUUCGUGCAAUUUCAGGUUACUGAAUGAAUACAUUUUAGAACACUGUACUUUUUGCACCUAUAUAAAUACUAAGUACACCUCGAGUCUUAUAGGUGUGUACCAGCUCAAGUACGCGGCAAUAAUAAUUGGAGUACCAGUCAAGUACGACUAAAAAUGUUGAAUGAUCACAACCUGAAGUAAACUACCUUCCUGACAAGAGUUGACGAGAGGCCUUUACUUGUUUAUUAAUUUGAAAGAGAUUUUUGUUUGUUUGGAGCAAAGUCUCUCGAUCAGAAAAUCAUUAGCAACAUUUACUAUAAUAUCAGUCUGUUGGAGAAUUUAUUCUUGUUGUUUUUCUUUUGUGAUCAUUGAUCGUUCUUGAUUGAUGAUAUUGAUUGUAUUUGUUGUUUUAACAUUGAUAUUGUGAAUUGUUAGGUUUGUGAACUUGAUAUAAUAUUCAAUUUUGAAAAGGUAAAUUGAAGUUUUAAAUGUUGUCAUUUUUAAACCUCAUGAAGCCAUAGUGGGCAUAUUACCCGGAUGAGUAAAAUUUUCUGUUUGUGCUUCAUUCCAAGCUGGAUUCAUUUCAUGUUUUAAUUUAUGUACUGGGCGUAUACCAAACACUCCAGGUUUUCCCCAGUUCCUUCCUUCAGUGUGGAUUAUGAAGAUUUUGCUAACAAAUCAAAUUUGCAGUUGCUCGCGGACAUUGGCUAAUAGCGAGCUGAAGCAAGCGACAACACGAACGUUGGCCGGAAGCAAAUUUGACGUUAUCAACCAACCAACAUUCUUGACCCAGUCUUUCAACGUUACUCAUGCCGUUCGUGUUGUCAAAAACGUCGCUUGGCUUAAGCUCGCUAAUAAUGCUCGAGCAGCUUUUCAAUAUUCACAUUGAUAUCGUGCUCAUCACUUCCUCCAUGAUCAAUCACAUUACAUGUCUAAUGAUUUGACUCAACGAUUCAUGCAACUAAAAAGUUAGUCUUAGUCCCACGGAAACUGGUACCAUACACUUGUGACGUAAUUAGCAUUAACUUGGUUUUGUUAUCUUGCUGAGCAGGCAUACUACAUGUUGGAUGAAUUGAUGCUCGGAGGUGAAAUUCAAGAAACAAGUAAAAAGAAUGUUUUGAAGUCUAUUCAAGCUCAAGAUCUCUUGCAAGAAGUAUGUAGAAAAUUUAUGACACUAUUGAGUUUCUACGUUUCUCACAAACAUCAUGCUGCAUGAUCAUAUACAUGUAGGACUGUUUUCUAGAUUGUCCCUUGUACACACGCAAAAAUCUCACAUCUUGAGGCAAGUCUGCCAAGAAGCUGUCAACAAGCUGUGUUAAUUCGCACUGCUUGUCCAAAGUUGUCAACAAGUAUGGAACAACUUGUUAACAGUUGUAACAACCUUGUUGAUAUUAUCAGACUUGUUGCAAGGUUUUCCAACAAGUCCAAUACAGUCCUGAUAUAACAAUAUUGUUACGACCUUGUGUCAUCAACCCUGUAACACUCUUGUUACAACAACUGGGAACAAGCAGUGAGAACACAACUUGUCGACAGAUUGUGAACAGUUUUGUAACAACUUGUUUGCAGAUCAGUACGUGUGUACACAAUAUGAAAUUAAUAUGCCUGAUUAUUAUGUAUGGUUCUUGUUUUUAUAGGAAGGUGAAAUACGCAGUGCAUUGGAGGAGAUGGGUUUGUCAUAGUCUUCGAAAUUUAGAACAUAAUAAUUGCAAUGAACAUAUAAUUUCCAAAAUUUCUUACUUGUACUCUCUUGAUAAUAAUUGAAUAUUGUAAGUGUACAUACAAUAUGUAAUUGUAGCGUUUUAUAUGAGAAUAAUGUCGAGUUAUUUACCUCAAUUGAUUUUACUGAGCUGAUUAAUACUAGCAUAUAAAUUUAACUGAGAUGAUAUAUAUCGGGAUAUUUUUAUGAAAACCGUCGAUGCAUAUGCAACCAAGUUUCAUUCACUCAGCGUAACAAGACUGUAUUCUCUGCGAAGUUUCGUCACUGUCUUACUGUAAUUUUGUUAACAUUUUCUGUAGCUAGACUGUAUCCUCAAUUAAAUCCACAAUUGUGUAAAACGUGCAUACAUG